AAUCGAAAUUUUGGUAGUGGUUUAAUCGAAAUAAAGAUGGAUAAUUAAUAAUUAUUUAUAUAGGGAGAGGAAAAUUGUUCUCAUGAUUUGUUUCCUUGUUUUCUCUCCCUACUAAAUAUAAAAAUGGAAAGGGCCAUCCACUCCUCUCACUGGGGCAUCAAGAUGCCCUGUUCUGAAGUUGCCCUCCAGACGAGAGAAUCCCUAAAAAGGCCCUAUUUUCCUCUCCCACUCUCAAUCCUCGCAGGAAAAUUAAGUGGCUGUGAUGACACUUUCCAAGUAAAUCAGACAUUUGAAAGGACCCAUCUCUUGGCUGGGCGAUCCGGAUUGUCUGUGAAAUGGGUUUCUAUGCCCUUUUUUUUCACAUGCAACUGUAGUUGCAGCCAUGGCGAACACGGAUCUUGUCUGAUUACGGGCGGAUCUGAGCCCUCCCUGGACCCGUGAUGUCCAUCUUUAUUUAUUUAUUUAUUUAUUAUUGUUUGGUUGGAUGUAUUUAGGGUCCUUCAAAGGGUCCUGGAUCUGUUUGGUUCCCAAUGAGAAAAUCGAGGGGCUAUGAUGAUACUUUCCAAGUAAAUCAGAGAUUUUGAAGGGCUCGUUUCUUGGCGGGGCAACCCGGAUGAUCUGUGAAAUGGGUUUCAUUUUACAGGCAACCGUAGUUGCAGCCAUGGCGUCCCGGCAGCUCGUCUAAUUACGGCCGGAUCUGAGCCUCCAUUGCCCGGUCCAUGAUAAUAGGAUCUGGAUCUUAAUAAAAAUGUGUCAUCUGUGUAGGAUUAAAGUAGUGGGAGGCCCAAAGAAGAUGAGUCAUGCUUGGUCCAGCGAAGCAUAAUUGAUGAUACCAAUCAAAUAUAGUUGAUAUUUUUUUUUUUAAUAAUUAUGUUAAGAAUAAUUUAAUCUUUCUAAUUUUUUUA